CAGUCGCCACGGGAAUACGUAGGGUGCAAGCGUUAAUCGGAAUUACUGGGCGUAAAGCGUGCGCAGGCGGUUCGCUAAGACAGAUGUGAAAUCCCCGGGCUUAACCUGGGAACUGCAUUUGUGACUGGCGGGCUAGAGUAUGGCAGAGGGGGGUAGAAUUCCACGUGUAGCAGUGAAAUGCGUAGAGAUGUGGAGGAAUACCGAUGGCGAAGGCAGCCCCCUGGGCCAAUACUGACGCUCAUGCACGAAAGCGUGGGGAGCAAACAGGAUUAGAUACCCGAGUAGUCCCUGUCUCUUAUAC
rnacentral:rRNA from 1 species